rnacentral:lncRNA from 1 species
AUGCAAACACGGUCCUGGCCCGGAGGUCAYUGCAUGAAGCCAGCUGUCCCCGCGCUGCGCGGCGCAAGGGUUGUGCACAAAAUCCUCUGCAUCUGGGUUUGCAUCCUUUGGAGUAAAAUCCAUCUAUUGACCCUAUUACCUGUUCACCUUGAAACACUGACUGCAGCGUUUCUCAACAGCAAAUGCAAUUACUCAGCUCAYGUUUUCAUAAAGAGCCAGACAGCGGGAAAGAAUACAGAUGCCGAUUUUGCUGAGCUGAAUGCGUUUCUCCUAGCUCCGACACAAACUUGGCCCGGUUCGGACGCUCCGCUUGCCGUAGCGGGUCGCUGCAGGCACCGCCGCACGCGGCAGCACCUCAGCUCCCGGCGCCUCAAGGCCCAGAAGAAAGCGGGGGACAACGAACAGGAAAUUACGAGCGAACGAUCGAUGGGAAGAGGAAACGGCGCACCUCGAGAGAGCAGACCGCAGCGCCGUGCCGGCAGCCCUGCCCGCCGGGCUGCACGCCGAGGCGCGCUAGCUGCAAACCACCGCCCUGCCGCGAGCCUCCACCGGCUUCCUCGCCCCGUGCCUGCACUCGCGACCCUUCGCCAGGCGGGCCUGACCCAGCCASCACGCAUCCGUAGCCCCUGCUUCCCUAAGCAGCUUUGUUUUUAUUGCUGCAGGUUGCAAAAGGUGCAAAAUCCCGGUGUGCAACCGCACGGAAGAGAUUUCCCGCUUGGAAGAAAACUCCUUCCCCGAGGAGGUUCUCGCGCUUCCCGGCCGUGCGCGGUGCUGGCCGCCGGCACGAUUCCCUGCAGAGCUCCCGCGGCGCCCAGGCUGCUGCCGGGGCGAGAGCAUCGCUGGUGGUGGCGGCGCGACGGGCGCCCUGCAGCCCCGUGCACCCGCGGGAGCGCCGCGCACGCCCGCCGAGCCGCCGGCCUGCCUUUCCCCGUGCGGCGACACGCGACUUAUUUCCAGGCAGCUGAGAAUUUCAGCAGGGGACAUUUGCAGGAACGCCUGGACCGUGGCUUUGGUCGAGGCUUGAGCCAGUCUCGCGCCAGAACGGAAAGAGCAGCAAAGCAAAACCGGGAGCGUGGAAAAACGCAGCAACCCAAGGGCUCGUUAGGUGAUUCCGGCUGGUCUCGUUCACCCGAGGCGCAGGGAGCAAGAGCGCACGGACAGGAAGCACGCGGCGAUGCCUAA